rnacentral:lncRNA from 10 species
GAGAAGGGGCGGGGCCGAAGCCGGUUGCCAGGGUGUCGCGGAGCGGCUGGGAAGGAGGGGCUGGGAAUCUUGGAGCCCCUUGGCCCGCGGGGAAAGCGGGUGACCCGCCCUGCAAGUGGGAUGCCCCCUUCGGCCUUCUGGAGCGCAGGGAGGCUGUCUCCCCGGCAAGGGUGCCCACUGCAAGCACAGGCGUGAGAAAUGGCCCAGAAAAGAGUGGUCAGGGCAAUGUGUUCUUGGCACGCCCAGCAAGACCUGCCAGAGGGACCUACAGACGAGUGUCUCCCAGCUAUCUUACCAGCGGGGACCUUGAGGUCCAAGUAUCCAGUCCGGUUAGAAAUGGCCGCGGAUCCAACAGGUGCUGGUGAGUGGGAGAAUACCCCUGAGGGAGGAAGAACAGAGGCCGGGAGGGAGCUGAGUGGAUGUAGAUGAGAAAUACCUGGACAGCUGCAAGCUGUAGUCAGUGAUGGGCAACUGGAACCAGAGAUUCCAGAGAGAGGGAGGGAGAAAGAGGGAGGAGAAGGGAGAAUGAGAAAGAGAGGGAGAGAGAAUGGGGGGGAGAAAGAGGGAGAAUGGGGGAGAGAGGUAGGAGCAAGUUCUGGACCACGCCAAGGAUGGAGCUGUGGUCCUGGAACCAGAUGUCCAGGGAAUGGGAUGAAGUGACACUGGCUGGGGCCGAGGCUGCAGACUGCUGGUGGGAGCUGGCAGGACAAUGAGGAUUCUGAACCAGGUGCCUGAGCCUUCUGUGGAUAUGGGGAGUGACUUGGAUGUCUAUAAAUUCCAGAAAUGAUAGGAGGGAUAGAUGAUGGAGGGACUGUAUUUUAGACAAUAAACAAAUUUCACUCAGUAUGGAUGAGUUUCCUGGGGCUUCUGUCACAAUGCAUCACAAACUGGUUUUAAAAACAACAACUGUUUUAAAAACAACAGAAACGUGUUUCCUCAUAGCCCUGGAGGCCAGAAGUGCAAAAUCAAGGAGUGUGCAGGGCCAUGCUCCCUCUGCAGCCCUGAGGGUUGACGCAUGUCUUGCUCUGCCAGGCCUGCUUGGUGUCCUGGGCUUGCUCAUGCACUGCUCCCAUCCCUGCCUCCAUCUUCACACGACCUUCUCCAGGUGGGUCUCUUCUGCAACAUCCCUGUUGGAUUAGGGACCACCCUAGUGACCUCAUCUUUAGUCGAUCAUCAUCAUGUUUGAUCAAAUAAGGUCACUGUGUUUGUUUGUUUUCCCACUGCUAUUAAUAUGAAGAACUUACCUGAAGCUGGGUAAUUUAUAAAGAAAAGAGGUUUCAUUGACUCACAGUUACACAUGACUGGGGAGACCUUAGGAAACUUACAAUCAUGGCGGAAGGCAAAGGGGAAGCAAGGCACGUCUUACAUGGCGGCGGGGGUAGUGGGAUGUGCCACACUUAAACCAUCAGAUCUUGUGAGAACUAUGACAAGAACAGCACGGGGGAAAUCGCCCCCAUGCUCCAAUCACCUCCCACCAGGUCCCUCCCUCGACAUGUGGGGAUUACAAUUCGAGAUGAGAUUUGGGUGGGGACACAGCUAAACCAUAUCAUUCUACCCCGGCCCCUCCUAAAUCUCAUGUCCUUUUUACAUUUCAAAACCAAUCAUGCCCUCCCAACAGUCCCCCAAAGUCUUAUUUCAGCAUUAACUCAAAAGUCCACAGUCCAAA